GAGGAUAUAGCUCAGUGGUAGAGCAUGUGCUUAGCAUGCACCAGGUCCUGGGUUCAAACCCCACUGCCUCCA
rfam:Camelus ferus unplaced genomic scaffold scaffold1683, whole genome shotgun sequence.